rnacentral:lncRNA from 1 species
AUAGGGGGGGGGGGGGGAGUCAAAAUCAAGGUUGUAAAAAUAAACCAUUUGGAAAUUUCACACGUCAUAAAAGAAAACAAGCAGAUUGCUCAAUAAAAUAACUAAUAAUAAUAACAUAAACUUCUGUUUGAUAUUGAAAGAUUCUUAAGUUUUUCAAAACAGUAUCUCAAAUCCUUCUCUAAUAGUUGAUAUUCGCACAGAAAUGUGACAAUAUUUUGUCAUGAUGUGGGCCCUUCUAGUAUUUUUGCCCAUGGAAUUUGCUGGCGUAUGGCUCUUUCAUGAGGACAAAGGAGAUCAAUGAAACGUCUUUACUGUUACAAGAGAGUUUCUUGUAUCUUAUUAUGUGUUGACUAAACAACUAAAAUACAAGAGGCCAAAUUUCAUAAGACAAAUUUUACAGCCAGAGGUUGAAUAACGACUCUUAUUUUGGACCUUCCUCUCUCGGUAUUUUACAGCCAACACAAAUUUUUGCAUAUUGCACGCGAAGUAGCUUCUUGUUAUAUGCUACUCUUAUUUGUAUUGGUUCCUCGAGUCUUUAUGCAGCAGUUUGGUAAUAUAUCAAGCCUAUCAUUUGUUAUGAAGGAUUAUAUCUAAUAAUGCUCAUUAAGUGUGUGCAAGCUGCAUACGUUGCUAUUCUGCUUAAUCGGCAUGCAUGUUAUAGUGACCCGAAUUCUGUUUGACCUGACCCGAAAAGCUCACGGUGCAACAUAUGCGGUGAAUCUAGAAUUAUGAAAAAAAGGGGUGUGCUGGUAGAGGAGGGAUGGGCCAAGAGGCUAAUGGACCUAUUUCAUUAUAUAUAUGAUGUAUAUUAGGGUUUCAUCACAUCAUAUCAUUCGGAGUAGCCGCACCUCUUGUAAUCAUCUUUGAUAUAGUGAAUUUUCUCAUCUGCCCGUGAUUUUUUUCGUCUUUAGAUUCUACGUAAAUCUUGUAUUCUUGUUACCAUUUUUAGAUUGCCCAUACUUAUUUUUUCGUAACAAUACAAUUUCAAAUUUCUCAACGGCUUAAAUGGCAAUGAUCUAAUCUCCACAAAAUUUAUUAAAAUUUAUUAUUAUCCAAUAAACAUGAAAGGUUAGACCGCUAGCUCCUCACAAAUUAAAACUUAGCCCUCGUUCGGUAUUAAAUUUUCAUCCAAAAAAUCAAUUUUUUGAUCGUUAUUUCACUAUUUCAGCCGUCAUUUUGACUUCUUCAAUGAUAGAUAGAACUCAUUUUUCUCUCUAACGAUCAAAAAAUCAAUUCUCAUAAUCACAACCAAACAGGCCAUUAAUAAAGACUAACUCAUAAAAUGAAAAUCUACAUAUACCCCUUGUUUGAGCCCCAUUUUGGGAGAAAAAUUCAUUUUUGAAUAGUGUAUUGUUAAAUAGUGUAUUGACGGGAAAUGGUCGGUUAAAAAAUAAAGAAAAAUUUUGAAUUUAUGGGUAAUAUUAUUUUAUUGAAGAAUGUGUGGUUGAAAUGUGUCAAAAUACUGUUUAAGAAUGUAUUUUUUUUUUUUUCCAAAGAAAGGGGUUAAACAAGGGCAUAGUUUCUAAUUUGAGUUAACUAUAACAAAAGCUAUGAAAUACUUUAACUAUGUAUAUGCAUGAACCAUAAUUUUCUUCACACAUAAAGUAGGUGUAAUUCAAGGAUGGACAGUAGAUACAGGAACAAGGAGAACUUACUCCACAAAGGGGAACAGAAGCUAUCCCAGCAUGUGGACCUGCCAGGGAUAUCAAAUUCCUCACCUGUCUCAAAUUAAGAACAUAAAUAAUAUAGAGUUCAAACUUGUAAUUUCAUACAAGUACUUAAUUUUGUUUAGAAAUCAAAAAGGGUAGGAGAAAAUGUUUCUUUAACUGAAACUGAUAUAUACAACAAGCUGGUAAUUAGAGGUGACUUCAAAAUCACUUUUAUAUACUGCGAGUGCCUGGUCAUUUAUAAUUUGAUGAUACCACAUAGAAAAAAGAGCAUUCUGAGUAGAACCUGACACCUCAUAGAAAAAAGAGCACUUUGAACAGAGCCUAUUGUAGUUUACAUCAUCACAACAAAGUUUUUGUGAUUUGUUACCACUUCAGGUUGAAUUAUACUGCAUGUUUAUGCCAUUUUGCUCUCAGUUAUCCCAUAACUUUACAGUACAUGAAAAGAAUUAGGCGGGCUUGCGUAAAAAUUUCAAAUACUCACAGGAGGUCCUCCAUCACAGAAUUCUAGGAUUCCUCUGCCAACCAUAUUGCCCUGAAAAGUACAAGAAUGGAAUGAGAUCUCUACCAACGUGUGGAAAAGCAGCAUAGUAAAUAUGAAACAAAGCAUUUUCACAUUUAGUCCAACUAAUAUGAUUUAGAUUGUCCAAUAGAACUAUCAAUGAACCAAAUAAAUAUUGGAACAAUAAAAUGAUUUCACAUGCAAACGAUGCAGAAGAGUAAAUGAUUGGGGUGAUCUGAAUAUGGUCUUUAACCUGUGAAAGUCCAAUUAUGUUGUAACCCUCUUUGAGCUCACUCAUAUUCUUCACCUGUAAGUUGCACAAAAUACCAUCUGAAUAAAGGAAUUCUGGUUCAGUGAAGUAAACGCGUUAUCAAAAGCUUAGUACCUUCUCACAAGCAAUGGCUGUCUGAAAGUACAAAAACAAAAUUAUGUUAUCACUAAAUAGCAUUCUAGAGAAGUAUAAUUGUAACAAGGUUGACUGAUAAGCAAUCAAUCACCUGUUUUCGAAAUGGCAUAAACCAUGAAUCCCAUUCACCAUUGCCGAUUUCACUACAAUAAAAGGCAAGGAAAAAAAUAGAAGGAAAAGGAAGAGAGAUUAAAUGAAAGCAUUGUAAUCAGCUAGGAAACAAUUUGAGAAAUCGAUGAAACACGAAAAAUGCAUCUUCGGCAAGUACAUUGGCACAUAUAUACAUCAGCGUUCCCUUUUUCACACUUCAUUCAUCCAUAAAAAGUUGGAAAAUAUUGUAGAAGACAAUAAUGGACAAUUUAACAGGUAGACUUGAAUUUUCACAAAAAUUGAAACCAUUUAAUGCUUACAUGCAAUAUCCUUGUGAACCAGACCAGUUGCUCAGAAGCUCUGUGAAUUUUGUGACUCCUUCAUGACUGCACUUGUCUGAGAUUCCUGCAAAAUUAUAUUUCAACUAAGAACAAUACCUAGUCAACCAAUCAUGAUAUGUAUUUCGCCCUUAGAACUUGCACAAGUUGCAUCGAAUCUGGUUACAUUACAAUGAAUACUGAAAAAAACAUGAUUUGUCAAAUAGAACCAGACAGCUGGUGCAAAUUUGAAUAUGAUUCUCCUUAAAAGGGAUGAAGUUACUAUGUCCAAACCUUGAUUCUGCUAUGCUUCAAAUGAUUCCACUUUCUAUACAUUUAUUGUUCUUGGCAGGUAAUAUAGAAAAUUAUUAGCAAAACACAUUACUGAGACAGGAUAUAAUUUUGAAGAUUUAAAAAAGUUGCAUCGAAUCUGGUUACAUUACAAUGAAUACUGAAAAAAACAUGAUUUGUCAAAUAGAACCAGACAGCUGGUGCAAAUUUGAAUAUGAUUCUCCUUAAAAGGGAUGAAGUUACUAUGUCCAAACCUUGAUUCUGCUGUGCUUCAAAUGAUUCCACUUUCUAUACAUUUAUUGUUCUUGGCAGGUAAUAUAGAAAAUUAUUAGCAAAACACAUUACUGAGACAGGAUAUAAUUUUGAAGAUUUAACAAACAAUGCACAUUAAAAUUUCAAGAAAUAUAUUAAUGGCAUUCAGUUUAGAAUACUUCUGUCAAUUAUCACACUUCAGGUGUCAAAAUGUGCCCAGCCAAUGCCCGGUUUGGAUAAUUUUCAGUGUCCCUAAAAAAGGACCGUGCCAGACUAAGGUGGAUCACCGUGGUGCGGCCAAUUAUCAUCGCUAUGUCUUAGGAUCUAUGGUUCGAACAAAAAAUGCAUAAUCUUGUAAAACCAAUACCAAAUUUAUUAGCAAUCAAAAUUUACAAAUUACAUAGAGGAGCAAAAUGAUUCCAAUGUAUCCAUUAAAAGCAGAAAUACAAACAUAACGGUUCAAUUUUGGGUGAUUCUUGUAUAACUGACUGACAAGAACCAAAGUUACAAUGUAGAAGUACUACAAAGGCAAUAAAAAGCACAAUACCAUCGUAUUAGGAAGAAUAUAGCUACUUAUUGACUGCAACAGAAACCAAACUGAAUCAAAAAGCAGAAAAAAAUUACCAUGAAAGACAACAAAAGGUAGAGCAUAUGUAGUUCUUGGAAUGAAUGUCAACGUAAUGAUGAUGAAAAGCGAUGUGAAAAUAAUCAAGAAAGAUUUAAGAGCCAUGCUUUUUUGCAGAAAGGAAAAGGAGUUAAGGAUAAGGUACUGAGUGGCCACUUGCUAUUUGGGUUUGGAUUUGCUUUCGAAAUAUAGAAAAUGAAAUCAAGAAACGUGGUUUUACUAAGACCCUGUUUGCCACCAUUUUUUUGAAAUGAAAACGGAUUGAAUAGUAUUUUUAAAAAAUAAUAAUUGGUUGAAAAAAAAAGGAAAAAUUUUCGAUUUAUAUAUAAUAUUAUUUUAUAAAAAAUUGUGUGAUUGAAAAUAGAAGAGAGAAAAAUUUAAAUGUAAUUUAAGAGACUGUGAUAGGUAUACUGUACAUUUGCUGUUUGGGUGGACAACUCGCAAAAGCUUAGAUACAUGUAGAAGAUUCAAUUUUCUAUUUUAUACUUAUCCAUUUUUUUGUUUAAUAACUUUAACAUACUUGUUUGAAUCUCAUUUUGGAUUAAAAAAAAAAAUGCAUUUUAAGAUUGUAGAUUGAUGAAGAACAUAUAUACUGUUAAAUUUUUUUUUCGUGUAAUAUUAUUUUAUUGAAGAACGUGUUAUUAAAAAUGAGUUUUGAAAAGGUGAAUUUUUAAAAAAAGAAAAAUUGAGCUCAAACAAGGGCGUUUCAACUAGAUUAAAUUAUUAAUUAAUAUUAUUGCUUUCGAAAAAAUCAAGUCAAUUAAUUUAGACUAAACACAAAUAUUUGUAAUUAUUAAUUUAAAAUUGAUAAAAAAUAAUAAAAUUACAUCUACCAUUAUCUAUUUUUCUAAAACCUUAUAUUGCAUAUUAGAAAUCAUGCUUUUUGGCCUUUUUCACAUGAUUCUGUCCUUCAUGCCUCCAAAUUUUUAUAUUGCCCUAUUUUGUCGUGAUUAUGAGAAUUGAUUUUUUGAUUGUUAGAUUGAAAAGUGAGUUCCACAUGUGAGUGAAGAAGUAAAAAAUGGCGAUUAAAAUAGUGAAAUAAUAGUUAAAAAAUCAAUUUUUUUGAAUGAAAAUUUGUUGUCAAACGAAAACAUAUUAUAAUACUUUUUAACUUUGUGUGGAUUCAUAGAAGAUCGCAUACGGAUAAUUAUUCUUAAAAAAAAUGCUAACAACAUAAUGGCUCGCUUGGUACACAUUUUUUUCAAAAUACAUUUUCUUCUCUUUUUUUUUCAACUACACAUUCUUUAUUAAAAUAAUAUUACACGUAAAUAAAAAAAAUUCUUAUUUUUCAACCAUACAUUUCCCAUCAAUUUACUAUUCAAAAAUAUAUUUUUACAUAAAAAUAUCUUCCAAACAUCCUCAAUGCAAACACAACAUCAUCCAUUAUGAUUAUGAUAUUUCCACAUUUCACAUAAAAAAUGCACCAAUUUCACUCAACAUCUCAAAUUGUUAUAAUCAACCCUCUAAAUCAUAAAAAUGCACCAAUUUCACUUGACACUAUUCCGUUAGUUCUAAGUAGGGAAGAAAACAAUUCAAGAUGACCUCUCUCCCCUCUACCGCUUUAUUGGAAAAUUUUCAAAGUAGACAGGACCGGGUGGAAAUUAAAAAUGAUUUCAAUUUAAAAUUGAAAAAAAAAAAUAAAAAUAAAAACGAGUUCGAGACAGGACAAUAUGAGAAAAGAGAGAGAAAAACUUUGAUAGGGCGAUUGCACCGUCUUACCCGAUGAUAUGGUGACUCUCUAUUCGACAAUCAUACCACGUAGAAUCGUAAGAUCGACCCACCAAAUUUUUUCUCGAAAAGAGUGCCCCAUCUCAUUUUUCGCAUUUUCUCACCUUCGCCAAUUUUCUUUUUUCUUUUUCGAAUUUCCUUGUUAUUUUCAUCUUUUUAUUUUAUUGUCCAUGUUGGACUGAAGUCGCUAGUCCCAAACACCGCUUUACAAAAUAGACGAGCAACUUUAGUCUGUUUUGAACACCAGAUUUGACCCUUCAGGAUUUUUUCUCUCCCGGCGAAAAUGGCGAGACCGAUGGCCGAUUGGCGCAGCAACAGAGCGGCGGUUCAGGGAACAAACGACGACGCUUCCGCCAGCAAACUGUAUGUUGCUUCUAAUUUUAUACACGCUCUCGAGUUUCUUUUCAUUUUCUUAGUUUAUUGCGAUGAAAUUCAAGAAUCAUAAUUUAAUCAUUAUACACACUCAGCCGCUUCAGUUUUGCUUGCAACAUGAAUGAUUUUUCUAUCGAAUGAUUAAUGAUAAUAGCAUAUCAUUUUUAAUAAAAUUCCUUCAGAUUUAUUUUAGUUCCUUGAAUUUUUAAUUUAUUUACAAGAUAAACGAAUAGAUUUAAUGAAAGGGAAGAACAAUGAAUUGAUGGAAUAAUACAUACAUUUUUUUUUCACGCAAACGCUUGAAGGUCUUUAAUACCGUGUUUGGAAGAUUUUUUUAUUCUAUGGAACAAAAUUUUCAGAAAGACAAAUGAUGUUGGUUGCAGGUAAUUUUGGUAUAUGAUUAUCCUAUCUUGUCUUUUAGUUAUUCUUUAAUCUUUUGGAGUAAAGAUGUUGGUGCUCUCAAGACUGUAAACAUGAAUAACGGUAUUUAUGUUUUUGCUAAGCUAUAAUAACUCUUUCUGUGUUUUGUAAAUAGGUCUUGUGUCAAAAAGGGGUACAUGAAGGAUGACUACGUUUAUUUGUUUGUAAAAAGACCAGUGAGGAGAUCUCCAAUAAUUAAUCGCGGUACUGUUUGGUUAUUUUCCCUAUCUAGGCCUUGCUUACUGAGUUACUUGUUUUUAUGUGAUAUUGAUUCAUUUUUUCUUCUUGUAAAUCUCAAGGAUAUUUUGCUCGGUAUGCAGCAGUCAGAAAGCUUCUUCAUCAAUUUCUCAAUUGUGAAGUGAAUACUGAUGGGCAAGGCAACACCAAGAAGCAAAUACUGUCACUGGGAGCUGGCUUUGAUACAACAUAUUUUCAGUUGCAGGUGCUUGAGCUUUCAUUUGAGACACGAAUAAUUUUUGUCAGUGUGAACUUGAGUAAUAUGAUAAAGUUUUAUUGUUUUGCUUGGAUAUUUUGUGUUCUGUUUCCUUUAGUAUUUCCAUGUUUUGUAAUUCUUCUUGUUAAACAAGAAAGCGGCGUGUGUAUUGAGCUGGAAUUUCUAUGCUUCCUGAUGCUCACACUUCUCAGACACCUUGCCCCCAGACACGUGUGCCUCUGUGAGCUAUUACACUUGAAUUGCUUAUCCUUUUGAAUAAGAAUGACGAAUCUCUACUUGGUUGGAAUGGAAGAGUUACUUUCAUUCAUGACACGUAUGAGAGGGGAUCUAUUGUCCAGAGAAAAUGUAGUGUACUAUCUAUGCUUAUUGAGUGAGCUACGGGCAAUAUUUGAUGAACCGUGUGUUUGGAUUUCAGAAGGUCCAUUUUGAUGGAUGGAAGUCUUCAUACUCUAGUCCAACUAAAACCUCUUAGAUAGUGGUUAGAAUGUUAGUUUAAUACUAGGCUUACAUCGAUACUUCGGUGCAUGCUUGAUGUCUCUUUGCUUGUACUUAGGGUUGGUAUGGUCACUGACUUUAUUCAUUUUAAUAUGCCUAUUAAACUCCAAAAAUAUGAAAAAUAUUUGUUCUUCUUUAAGCUAACUGUAUUCUUCUUUGAUAGGACGAAGGGAAAGCACCUUACCUGUAUGUAGAACUAGACUUCAUAGAGGUAUGAAUUUGGAAAACUCGGGAAUAUCGUGUGAGUAUUUUACAUGUGCUGGCUUAAAUAUUUUUUAAGAGAUCGUCGCAUCCAUUAAUAAAUAUGGAUUCACAAACUUUGCUUGAGUGGUCAAACUUUUAUACCACCUUUUACUUUUAAUUUUGUUUGGCAGUGCCAUUCUUCUCAUUUAUUGGAAUCCUAUAAUGAUUAGUUGUGGGGUUAUGCUUGGUGUACAUAAUUUAGGUACAUAAGGGUGUCCAUACCCCCCUCACAUGAGGCAGGGCCCAUCUCAUGUGAGGGGUGUCCAUGUACAUAUUUUAUGUACACCAAGACUUAUCUUUAGUUUUAUCUCACAAUUCUGUAUUUUCUCUUUUGUCGAUGUUUCAAUUUUUUAGGUGACCAGUAAGAAAGCUGCUCUUAUUGAAACCUACAGUCAAUUGAGGGAUAAAGUUGGUGAGACUGCAUCAAUUUCUCAAGGUAAGAAUUAGGUCACAUUUACUGAGACUCUGACUUGUACUGUUGUACAAUUUCUCCCAUCUUCUGUCAUAUUUGCAAAUGACCAUAAUUCUAUCUUGCUGAUGGCCCAAAAAAAUUGUUUUCUGCUAAAUGAAAUUGGUGCAUAAUUGGAGAGAAAAUCAGGGACAGUCGGAGAGAGAUAUUGCUUGUUUGGAAGUGUUUAAAUUAUGAUAUGAGGAUAAAUAGUGGAUCCACAGAUUAUGUGGUUAAAAAGUAUAUUUGACCAGCUUAAAUUAUAAUUUAAACUUUGCCGAACAUGCACAUAGAGAAAUUCAUGAGAAUUGAAGAAUCGGGAGAAAACAUGAUUUCAACAUCAUUGUGUAUUUAAUUAUCAAUAGUCCGUGUAACUAUAAAAUCCUGCUUCUAUUUAUACUUAAAUAUUACAGAAAGAGAGUGAAUACCCGACAUUAGUGAACAAGCUAGGGUGAGAUUGUUGAGAAUGAAUAGGUCACAAUUGCUCAUUAAUUCCUCAAAAUGGGUCAUAAACUCUAUAAAGAUGGACGUAACCUUCAACAAUUUGUAUGCACAGAUAUUUUUAUGUUUUUUCGUUGGCUAACAAUUUUUUCUCUUGUUAAAAAAUAAUCGAAGAUUAAGAAAGAAAGGGGGUCCAAGACAAGAAGAAUUGAGGGCAAGAGGAAAAAUUGCUCUUUAUUCAUAUAAUCGGUUGUCCAUUACAAUGAACAAUGCCCUCUAUUUAUAGAGUAAAUAAGCUAAGAUGCUAAAAUGAAAUAAACUUCUAAUGAUAUAAAAAUAUCAAAACUAAUCUAAUGAAAUCUAAUCAAAUAUGUUUUAAAUCAAACUCUUAUUUAAAAUCCUAAUUAAAAUUUUUUUAUUCUAAUCUCUAUCUUAAUUUCCAUCGUUUCUCCAAAACUUUUUCUUAAGACAAUGAGACACUUAACAAUUAAUAAUAAUCAUUAGGGUCUCUUAACCUAUGUUGCACAUCGAAAGUAAGAUCAAAAAUUUCAUGAUUGAAAAUAAUAUGUCGCAUUAAUUUGGCAUAAAAUUUAGGAACAUUGAUAGCAACAUGAUGAACUAAUGCCAUAUGUCUGUAUUUAGUAGUCAGCAAAUUAAUGUCAAUAGGAAAGUGUGCAAGCAAAUAAUUGCCUUUGAAAAAUCUUUGCAACUGGAGGAGUAUCGAUCAUUUGAGGUAACGUAACAAUAAACUCUACUUUAAAAGAAGAUUCAGGAGUGGGCUAACUGUUUGGUUGAUGUGUCAAUACUAACGAUAACUCAGGAACUGUAUCAUGGUCAAUUAUGGCUAAGGUGGAUGUGAGAGGGGAUACGAGACAAGUCUCAAAACUCUCAUCCUCACUAUCAAAAAUAUCAAUUGGUUCAACAAUAAAAGCCUCAUUUUCUUCUACAUGAGGAGGAUUAACACAACUAAAUUUAGAAAGUGAUUGGAGUAAUGUGUCUAGUUUUGUACACAAUUGAUUAAGUUGAAAAGAUAUGUACCAAUGAUUGCCCAAACGGUAAGCUUCAUCCAAAAAAUUAGGGUAUAGGAAUGUUAUAAGGCAAGAUUUCUGGAUUCAAACCAUUAAUAAACCUAAACACUGUGAUGAGCCUCAUAAACAAAACAACUGUGCCAAGUGGUCGUACAUUGCCUUCAUUGGCAAAAGAAUUAAUUCACCAAUUGAAUUCGAUAAUACUCAAGGGCAUUCUUUAUAUUCAUUUCAUCUCAUCCCACAAAUUGACAAUUCAUUGACCUAGACAAUUAUGUAAAUAUAAUCUCCAAUAAAUCUUUAGCUGGACCGAUCAGUGACAUGGUAGCACAACAAAUUCAACGCGAGUCACUUAAAUUGUGAUAGUUAAAGAAUUUUUCAAGACUAUUGAGUCAAUCCAGAAAUGCUUCUGGAUGAGUCCGGCAUCAGAAUCCCAUGGUUGUAAUGGAACGUGCCUAGAAGGAUAAUGGACCAGGUUGACAUAGUUCCUAAACUGAAGGUGAUUGUACUGGGAAGUGGAAUGUUCACUAUCAUGAUAGUGAGCCAAGGAUUCAGAGUAGUAUAAGAGUUUGACUUUUUUUCUUUUUUUUUUUGGGAAGUAAUUUAAAAAAAAAAAAAAAAAGCAACUAGAAAUUGAAAGGUAAUUUUUUUAAACUAAUCUAUUAGAUUGAAAACUAACAAGCCAGAACACUGAAAUAAAAGUAUAAUACCAAUAUAAAAGAAUGGGCUAACUGUUUGGUUGAUGUGUCAAUACUAACGAUAACUCAGGAACUGUAUCAUGGUCAAUUAUGGCUAAGGUGGAUGUGAGAGGGGAUACGAGACAAGUCUCAAAACUCUCAUCCUCACUAUCAAAAAUAUCAAUUGGUUCAACAAUAAAAGCCUCAUUUUCUUCUACAUGAGGAGGAUUAACACAACUAAAUUUAGAAAGUGAUUGGAGUAAUGUGUCUAGUUUUGUACACAAUUGAUUAAGUUGAAAAGAUAUGUACCAAUGAUUGCCCAGACGGUAAGCUUCAUCCAUGGAUCAUGAUUAGGCUUCGGCGUGAUUUGGUUUGGGUCGGUUUCAACUCCAAUCCAAAAUCAAAACAAAAUUAGUUUGUUUGGACAAAUUUUAAACUAAACCAAUCCACUCUAGCUCUUAAACCGAACCGAACCGAACCAAACCAAGCCAAAUCAAAUGUUGGGUUUGAUUUGGUUCAGUUUGGUUAAUCGGUUUGGACUUUUAGUCCAAAUUAAAUUUUUUAAAAAGAAAUUAUUCGAGUUUUAGAUGCACUUAAAUUACAAGAACUAAAAUAGCCAAAUAAUUUUUUAUUAUAAGAACUAUUGAUUAACAAGUAAAAUCAGGUUAAUAUUGACGGAACAACAAAAAACUUAAAAAUUUUAUUGCUUUUUUAUGUAUUAUGUAGUCUGACUGCCUGAAUAUAGAAAAAUGCUAAGUAUAAUAUAAUAAGUUUGUGAAAUAAAAUUUUCAGUACUAUUAUUUACCGACAACAUCAUAGAUUGGAGGGAAUCGAGAUAUAGUUAUGAGAUUAGAGUUUAUCUUUUGAUUUUUAUUUUUCUUAAAUUAAAAAAAGGUGAAAACAUAAGAAGGUUAGGUUGGUUCGGUUAACGAAUGGUUUGAGACUUCAAACCAUGACUGAAUCGACCACUAUGAUUUUGUUUAAAAGAAAAUCAUAUCAAAUCAAUUACCUGUGUCGAACCAACCUGAACUGACUCGAGUUGAGUCGAUUUGAUUGGUUUGGUCGGUUUUUCGAUUUUUUCCCAGGCCUAAUCAUGGUCAAGGAAUGUGUCAUGCAAAAUAUCAGGAUUUAAACCAUCGAUAAACUUAGAUGCUGUGAUAUGGGGUGCCUCAUAAAUAAAAUAAUUGUGCAAUGUCUUUGAAGUUGGCUAGAUACUCAUUAAUAGUGGGCGUACCUUGCUUACAGUGCAAGAAGACUUGAUUUAACAAUUGAGUUCGAUAAUACACUGGGGCAUAUUUAUUGCUUAGAAUUUGUUUCAUCUGCUCCCACAAAGUGAUUGGUUGAUCUAGACGAUUACGUAAAAGGGACUUCCAAUAACUACUAGUGGAACCGGCAAGUGACUGAUUAGCAAAGACAAUUCGACGCGAGUCUCUCAAAUUGUGAUGGUGAAAGAAUUUUUCAUGAUUAUUGAGCCAAUCUAGAAAUGUUUCCGGAGCAGUCUAACCAUCAAAAUCCCUAGUUGUAAUGGAACGUGCCUAAAAGCAUAAUGAAUGGGGUUAACAUAGUUCCCAAAUGGGAGGUAAUUGUAAUGAUAUUGGGAAGUGGAAGUUAUAUGGACAUGAUAAUGACCUAAGGAUUCGAUGUAUGUAUUAGAGUUUAACAUUGUUACAUUUUUUAUUAUUUUUUUGAAUUAAUUGAAAAAUGCAACAAAAAAUUGGAAGAAUUUUUUUAAUCUAAUCUAUUAAAUUUAAAAUUGACAAGCUAAAUCAUCUAAAUAAAUGUAUAUUGCCAACACAAAAGAAAUUGUUACCUUAUGAAACUCAAAAGAGUCAAAUAAUAUAUUCCAAUCAUGAUUUUCAAGUUGGCACAACUACAGUAGAAGAGCAGCAAUUGAUUCUACGAUCGAUUCAAUCCACAAAAGCAAAUCAUGGUCUUACAAAUAGUGUCAGAAAGUUCUUUUUUUUCUUUUUUUUUUUCACUCUUUUUUUUUAUUCCCUUUUUUCUACAAAUAAAUUGAAACGGUGGCAACAAACAAAAUUGAUGGCAGCAGCAGAGAAGUCGAAGCUCUGGCGAGUUAUGGGAUGCUGUAAACUAGAAGUUGUGGUUAGGAACUCCUUCAAUUGGUCUUCUUGUGAUUGGAGGAGAUGGAAGGUGGUUGGAGUGUAUGUCGUUUGUUGCUUUUGUUGGGGUGAUCAAUUGGAUUGUGAUCGUAGGAGAUGGAGGUGUGGCUAUUGAUAUCGGCCAUAGAUGGGUGUUUGAAGUACAGAGGCUGGAACGAAGGGCAGCGCCAGUGAAAGCUUGGUAGAUGUAGGAGCAGCGAGUGUGGAGGCAACGGAAUUGUUGAAGGAAAUGGAAUUGGCGGUUGUGGUGUUUCAUAGUGGUAGCGUAAGGUAUUAGAAGCAUGUGGUUGCUGUUUGAGCUAUUGGCAGCGGAGGCUUGGUGCGUGUGGGUUGUCGAUGACUACAAUCAAACAAGAGGACAAUGGUGGCAGGAGCUGUGUUUUGUGGAUGGAUGAGUUGAUAUUUUACUUUGUAGUUGCAGGUGGCGGCAUAUGAGUUCAAUCGGGGAUGAGGGUGCCGAAGGGGAUGGCGGCGAUGUGGUUGUGUUAUGUGGAGGUGGAGGCGAAGGUGGCUGCAUAUGUGGGCUAGGUUUUAUGGACAAGAUGAAGAGUGGGUGGAAGUCAAAGACUUUCAUUCCUCCGAGUCAGAGAUGUAGCUGUGCCCUUCUUCCAUGAGAGUAGGUAUAUUAGAUGUCCAAAAGCUUGUUUGUUGUUCCAAUUUCUCGCACUGUAUGAGCUUCGACUAAGAGCAUUUUUCUUGCCCAGUUGCUCGGCGCUUGUGGAAGCGCCACUGUAUCCUCCCUUAAAAAGGGGUUACAGCCUCAGAUAAUUCCAAAGAAGGUACCAUGGUUUCGUUUCUUUCUACAAAGUUCUUUGCAUGCGUUUGGUAUUUAAGCGUUCCAUUUCUCUGCGAAUUCGGGAACGGAUGGGACUUUCCCCUCUCCAACUGGACUAGGAUAAAGGAGGGCUGGGCCUUUCUAUGCUUAUUCAUGUUAGGAUUGGCUGGCUCAACCUCAGAAUCCGAAAAGAAAACAAAGAUAGAAUAGAAUCACUUUGUUUCAGUGACAUGUCUAAUCGGAUCGAAUAGGAUUUGAAGAGCUCUCACGAUCAUUCACAUUUCCUCUUAGUCCACCACUGCUCGCUCAGGGGCUUCCUUAUAAGGCAGAAUGCUCCCCUCCUAUUCCUUUUCAACGAUCCAAAUUUUGGUUUUUUCUUUCUAGUUGAGACGAGGAGUAGAAGAGAAAGAGGGGGGCCAUCACAAAAAGUAGGAAAUAUGUCAAUUUAUCCUAUUGAGUCACUUGAAGUAGGAAUGGGUUCGGUUGGGCUUUAAGUCGUGAAUAGUAAUUGGGUUGAUUUUUGGGUAGUGGACCUGGAACGCUGUUGGGCUUGGGAGAUGUGGUGGUCGAUUUGUUGGGCUUAGGCUAAAGUGAUUGAGGUGGGUAGUGUAGGUUUGUGGGCUGAUUAGGUUUAAGGUUUAGGCUUGUUAUUUGGGUAUGGUUUAUAGUGAGCAGAAAUUGGGGAACUUUUUUGUAGAUUUGUGUGGGGGCUUCGUUGAGCGUCAUCCAUUGGACAGCAGCAGAGUAGCAAUAAACGACGAAACUUCAUUUUUUUAUUUUUUUUAUUUUUUAACUUGAAAACGGCAACUAUACAGAAGCUGUACGAUUUUUUAUUUUUUUGAAUUUUUUCUCCCGAAACUAAGAGAACUGAAAAAACUUCUGUUGAUGUCUAUAUAAAUUCUUGUAAUUUUUCUGUUCACAGUUUUUUCUCAUUUUUAUUUUUAUUUUUGGUUUAGAAGGGUGGUUGUAGGGCUUGUAUGGGUGUUGGAAGGCGACGUUAGGUAUAUGAGUUGGAUGAACUUGGUUGGUUAGGCCAAAGGAAAAUGAAUUGAUCUAAUACCAAAUUGACGAAGGAUGCAAAUAAUUUGUUAAAGAAUAAUUGAAGAUUAAGAAAGGAGGGGGGGGUCCAGGAAGGGAAGAAUUGAGGGGCAAGAGGAAAAAUCAGUCUUUAUUCAUAUAAUCAAGGUUAUCCAUUACAAUGAAUAAUGCCCUCGAUUAAUAGAGCAAAUAAACUAAGAAGCUAAAAGAAAAUAAACUUCUAAUGAUAUCUAAAUAUCAAAACUAAUCUAAUGAAAUCUAAUCAAAUAUAUUUUAAAUCAAGCUCUUAUUUAAAAUCCUAAUUAAAAUAUAUUUUUAUUCUAUCUCUAUCUUGAUUUCCAUCAACAUAUGGCAUUACUAUUAUUAGUUUGUUGUCUGGAGUAAAUCUUCAUUUUUCACAUGCUGCAUGUGUAUCAUUGCAUUUUAAGGUUGCUAGAACAGAAAUCCUGUAUAGAAUUGAUCUAGGGCCCUAGUGAUUCAUCAGUUUGCAAAAUCAUCUGGAUAAUUGUUAUUAUUAAAGAAGUCGAUCAAGGCUCUCCUGAUGCAAGUACAUGUUGAAAAAUCUCUAAGGUCAUGGUAGUUCAUUUGUAUUUUCUUAGCAGAGUUUUGCUUCCAAAUUUUUAAUUGUCAUAAGUUUUCUAUUUUGUAGACAUGUCUUUAGAAAUUGUUAAUUCAGUUUUGUUGAAGUAUAAAAUGUAAAUUUUGAACUGUGUGACGUGUUACAGCAGUUACUAUUCUGAUGUGAUUGUCAUUUGUUAAUUGGUUGAACAAUAAAUAUUGCAUUUUGAGUUUCCUGUCGUUGAAAUUUUUUGUUCUUGUGGCUUCUAAUGUUUGGUUCCCUUGUAUAUUCUUACUCCCAAUUCGGGUUUUGAGUUCCACCCUCAUUCCUAUUCAUCAUAUAAUCCGGUUACAUGGGUUGGAAAAUUUUAUUGGGUUUUGGUUAAGUGUCUUUGCCAUAACAAUGAAGCUUCGUAUUUGUGCAGAGAAAGGGGAAGUGCUUAGCGAGCACUACAAAUUACUUCCUGUGGACUUGCGUGAUUUACAGAAGUUAGAUGAUAUUGUUACUUUAGCUAAUAUAGAUCCCAGGUAUUUGUACUUCAUUUUCUGCCUUAUGUACAUAUUAUGAAAAUAUGAAUGUGGUAUGAACCGCCUUAAAAGUUAAUAUUUUGGAUUCUUGAUGUGUUUUCUGAAGGUCAUUUGGUCACUCUUUUAUAUCAUCUUCAAGAUGAUAUAUUAUUCUAAACUACUUCAAUUUUUCAACUUGCGAGGAAAGGUGUCUAUGUAAUUCUUUUUGGCUUGAUUCUUGUCAUACCUGGCAACUAAAAACUUUGUUGCUUCAUAUUCACAUAGAUUUAAUUUUGAGCUCGGUCAAUGUGUAAAAUUUUGAUUUAGGUCAAUAUUUAGUCUUCCUCACUUGGGGGAUUCUAUGGCAUUUUGGUCUGUGGACAAAUUUCUAGCUCUUGUUUAUGUAAUUUAUUUUCUAUUUUUUUUUCCCCUUUAUUUCUCAUUCUACCCCAAGCGUCAUUUACAUGUAUUUGUAUUUUUUGUGAUAGGCUUACAAAAUGAACAUGACAUGAUGUGUUUGCAAGAAAUUUUGGUUUCAUUUGAUAAGGCUUAGCCUGUUGUAUUAGAUUUUCCCCCCUGCUCGGUACAUGCAUGAUCUUGGAUGAUGUGCUCAUAGAUAAUUGUUUAAAUAGCUCUUUCAAAUGAAAGGUUUAAGAUGCUGAAACUCGUUUUUUGACCCUCUGAUUGAUUACUGUAGCUCGCUCUGAUGUGUUUAGCAGAAAAGUAGUCUUUUAUAUGAUUCCUGUUCUUAUUUGGUCCUUUUUUUUUUUUGUGCCAUGUAUGUCUAAUUUUGUUAUGUUUCUCGUUCUUCCUGGAUAACUUCCAUACUAGGUUUUGAGUUGCAAAUUUCUCUUCCUCUCCAGUUGCAUCCACAUCCCCACCCCCCACCCCCCACCCCAAAAAAAAAGAAAAAAGAAAAAAUGUGAUAAAGUGAUCACCUUGUAGUUUUGGUUCAUGCGGAAAAAAAAGAUUAAACCUUGCCAAUCUGAUGUUGUUAUCAGUUUGCCAACAUUUAUAAUUGCAGAAUGCGUUCUUAUAUACUUGGAUCCAGAUUCAAGCCGCAGUAUAGUCAGAUGGGCUUCUAAGACAUUUUCUACGGCUGUAUUUUUCUUAUAUGAGCAGGUUAUGGAACUUUUUAAUCCUCAAUUUUUCAUCUUUCUUUGGGUUUCUCCAUUUCUACUGCUUUCGCUUUCUUGGAAACUGAAUUUAUUUAUGCUAUAGUCGCUUGACUACAUAUUCAUGCUGUCUCACAGAUUCAUCCAGAUGACGCUUUUGGUCAACAGAUGAUUAGAAAUCUGGAGGUACUUCGGCCUCCUUUUUGCACCAAAAGAGGAAAAGAAAAUAGAUUUUAAGAAAAUUAAAAAGGUUCCUUUGUUUCUGUUAUUUCUCAUGACAUUCCGCCAAAGAGUAAGAAUGUUAUGUUUAGAUUAUCUAAAAUAUUGACCCCAAAACAAAAACAAAAAACUAAUCCUAUGUUUGUCUAAUGUUUAUGAAAUGUUUAUAAUGGCCGAAUCUCUUUUUCUCCUCACAUUUAUAGGACCCACAAGUACUCCUCCCAGACAAGCUUUAAGACUUUUUCCCAAUAAAUUGGGGUCGGCUAGAUGGACCAUUUUUCACUCUAUUCGAUUAAAUUGCUAUGUACUAGAUCUGUGGGAUCUUAAGCAACUAGAUUCUUAGACCUACCGUAGGCCAUGUUAUUUUUAGUCUACCCCUCUCUCUUCUAACAUGUUCUACCGAAAUCUCCUCGCUCUUAUUAACCAUUACUUUUGUUAAUGGGAGCCUUUUUAGGCCUGCGCAAAAUAUGGUAGCAUCUUACUUACAGUUUUUUAUGUGCUGUCACAUAUGUGGUUUCCUUUAAAAAAUUCACGAGUCAUAGAAGUAGAGCUGAGAUUAUACAAUCUUCUAUUUUUAUAUACUACUUUAUGUGCCAAUGAAGCUUUCUUGUGUUCUCUAGUCUAUUGAAAUAAAAGAGAAUAAUUAUCCCUGCCGAGAUAUUUUUCUAGAGGUGUAUGUGAGCAGAUGUAAUAAUGGCUUUUUAUUGCAGAAUCGAGGUUGUGCACUGUUGAGCAUUUAUGCUACGCCGACUUUGCUUGCGAAGGAGAAACUUUUUCUUGAUCAAGGAUGGCAGGUAUUCUCCCGUGAUGUAUUGCUUCUUGGGUCCCCUUCCCCAGUAUACGAAUGUGAGAGAAAAAAGAAAUGGAAAACAAGAAAAGAUACUCCUUUGGUAGAAUUUAAUUGACAUUUUUAUACUUAAAGAGAGAUGGUUAGAAAAUUCAAGUUUCUGUUAGAAUACAAGCCUUGAUGUUUAAGAGUGUCAUCACCCGAACAUCACCUGAUAUUCACCAUCUCAAAUAAUUUUCUUUCUUGGAAGGGUGGAGUGUUUUUUCGCAAGUAAAAGUAGUAAUGUCUGUUAGUACUUAGUGGGCAUCUAGUUUGGACUGACUUGCUUAAUACCUAAAUGAAUGAAGCCACGGUGUGGGGGAGGGUAUUAGGUCCAGAAACCUUCCCAUUAAUUUAGCUGCUGGAAUAUAUAGAUUGAUAUGCCAAGAUUUAGCUUUUGGAUUUUGAGAUUUAAACCUAUAUGUGUUGUGAACACGAUCAUUCUGUAACUUACUUUAAAAUGAAUGGUUUGCGAAUACUGUUCACAUUUAAGCAAUACUGAAAAUGUUGUAUUAGCUCUGUUCUUGUUUACCCUUCCCUAGCAAAGGCUGUUAAAGUUUCGCGUUUCUUCUUUUUCUUUACUUGCGUCUGUUUCCCUGUGUUUUUGGGUUUUGUUCUUUAUUGAUCAACUUUGAAUUAGUUUCAUAUUUGUCACACGUUAUUAUGAUCUCUAUUGAGGUGCUUUAGAGAGCUGUUGCCUGGGACAUGCUGAGAGUGUACAGUAAUUUCAUUGAAGCCCAAGAAAAACGCAGGUAGAAAUCGUUUUCUUUUGCACUAGAGAAUUGCUAUUAUAUUUAUGUAGUUCUUUAACCUUUAUGGUUCCUUGUAUGAUAUUAUGCUUCUGCUCAUGAUUGUUAUUUGUUAAAGUGCACUAAGAACCCCUGAAAGCUUUGGAUCUUUAAAAUUGAAAUAUGCAUCUUGUGCACUGCUGUGCCUCAAUUUCAUGCCCAAAUAUAUCAUCGUCAGUUGUGGACAAAUUGAAUCCUGUUUUCGAUAUCAUAAAUGCUGUUGAGUUGAAUGUCUUCAGUUUUGUUUUAAAUAUGGAUUAAUUUUGGAUCUCCUUUUAACUUCAUGAUAAAUUUCGUCCUUAUCUAUUUUUAAUGGUGUUGUUCCUCUGCAAUGCACCAUCUUUUACCUGAGGCUGCUGGAUUUAGCACCUCUUUCUGGCAUUUUGCCAUUGCAUCCAUAUGUACAACUUUUUGGAUUAGAAUUGGAAGUGACCUUUGUUUUUGUGAAUGAUGAAAUAUUAUCUCUCCAUGACUGUUUCCAACUCUCCCUAGUGCAGUGUUCUGCUUGAGUAAUGUGAUUAAAAUAUGUGGGUCUACAUUUUGGUAGAAAUUGAAAUGUUAAGAUCUGCAAGUUUUAUGGUUCAUUUGGGGACGCUGAAGAAAUUGCAUAAUAUUAUAAAAUAGUUGAAUGAAAAUUUAGGAUUUUCAGUCCAAGUCCAUUAAUUAACCAUUGGCCAUUUUACAUGUUUUGAUUCAAAGAGUAGCUUAAAUAAGAACUUAAAUCUUAACGAUACUAUAUGAUUCAGGUGGUAGUUCAGUAUCGAAUUUUUUUCCUUAAUUUUUGCUGUGAUAAGAAAUUAAGAAGUGCUUUCUGAACUCUGUUAUAUAUGAAGAUUUCAAGUGUUUGCUAGAAUACAAACCUUUCGAUUUUUUCAGUUUCAAAGUGUCAUUAUUCUAAGACUAAAGAGUUGGUUCUUUCAAGAUUUUUGGUAUGCAUUUUUGCUCUCUCAUCUGCAUGUAUUCUAGAGAUGCUCUUUCAGUAUUCUUAUUCUUAUCUGUGUUCUUUUUAUCAGGAUUGAACGGUUGGAGUUGUUUGAUGAGUUUGAAGAGUGGCACAUGCUGCAGGCAAGAAUUUGUUACUUUUAUAUUGCAUUGGAAAUGAAGUUCUUUGAUAGUCUUGUCCAACUUGAAGAAUACAAUGUUUCUGUGGGAUAAGUUGAUAAAAUUCUCUUUUAUCCCCUUAAAUAUGAUUUAAGGAGGUAAUUUUAUCUGUUUAAUAUGGUUAUAUGGUCAAGCUGGAAGAGGUUACUGUGAGAAAAAGUUCUUUUAGCUGAAUAACGAAUUGCAUCAUGAAUUCCUUUUCAAAAAAGCAAGAACGAUUAUUUUCCCCCCCUAAAAGAAAAAGGUUGAGCAUAGUUUUUAGCAUGAUAAAAUUGAGAUUACCGAGGAUAUUCUAACAAAGUUUUGCUGUUCUGGUCAAGUUUUUUUUUUCAUGCAUGAUUUCUAAGGUAAAUAUAAUAAGCCACAUUAAUGGCACAUAUGCACGAGUAGAUCUCAUAAAGUGCUUUUUCCUUGGCGUGUAUGUUUUCUUUGUUCUGCAAUAAUGGCUGUUCCUGACCAACCAAUCAGUUGUAACUUCACGAAGCCCACCCAAAAAAUAAAAAGUUUCUCAGUGUUUGAUGAUUUUAUUCUAAAAUUGCUGAUUUUCAGGAGCACUACUGUGUUGCCUAUGCAAUCAACGAUGCAAUGGUAUGCCAGUAUAUAUGUAGCUCUAAUAUAUUGUCAUGUCCUCUCUUUUUAACAUCAAUCACCAUAUAUUCUAUCUUGAUGCUGCUUCAGGGUCUGUUUGAGAAAUUUGGUUUCCCUGAAAUUGAGACUGGAGCAACCGUUGCUACAUCCCCAUGAGAGAAUUAUUUUGUUAUCUGAAGUGAUUCUUUUCCGUGCAUUGAUGUCUAAUAUUGGCACGAAAGGAAGCAUGCUACUGGCUCAUGUUAAACCUGGGUGCUCUUUCUACCACUUCUUCAGUCUUACAUCCAAUAUAUGCAUAUAUUUAUACUUGUGUGUUGUAAAACUUAAAUGUAUCCAUCCAUUUGUCACCCCACGGACUAGGGGUUUGGGUUUUGUAUCCAUCUAUUCAUUUUUAGUUGGAUCAUAAUGGCAUGGAUUGACGGAUGGAACAUUCAAUUUCGUUGACGACUUACAUUUGUUGUUCACUGAUUUAAGAAUAUUUUACAUUGUAGAUGUGGGUUUUUUGUGCAACUGAUGAUGUAGUGUAUAAUGUAAUGUUAUGGUCAGUCAGUCACAAUCAUGAACAUAUGAUGUUAUUACGUAGAUAUGAUUAUUUUGUACAAUUGUUAUCACAAUAGCACCUGCUGGUUAUUAUAAACUCACAAGGCAAGUCUUUCACGAGUGAUGCAAGAUAGAAUUGGAUAAUUACGGUUAGCGAUUGUGGCAAUAUUAUGGAAUUUGAGCUGUAUGACAGAAUAUAAAAGGGCCCUUUGUCAAAAGAGUUGAUUACCAUGGAGACUAUCAUCUCCUCUCCUGUUUUUCUACUCUAUAGGGUUGGUUUGAGGGUAAUAUUGAUUCGGAGCAUCGCUUGAACAUGAAAAUGAGUUUAUUUUUGUAAAGGACUCUUUUGUAGUAUGACUCGAAUAACUAGUAUUUGGGAUUUGACUUUUGUGCCUCAUUUUUGGUGAUUAUUUUUACUUGAAUGUGCGUAGCAAGUUAUUCUAAAAUGUUUCAUAGGUGCUAUAAAAAUAAUAUUGUAAGAUGUGAGAAUAUAAAAAAUAAUUAAUACAAUUUGCUUACGCGGGAUGAAAGCUUGAUUCAAAAGAAAUGAAAAUCAGUUUGUGAAAACAUAUUAAAUAGUUGAGGAAGUAAAUUGGAAUAAUUCAUCCAUUUGUUCUUUCUGAACAUUCAACAAAUAUUAUCCUUUCCUCAUAUUACAUUUUCUGUAUCUUAACAUUCAUUAAAUAAAUCAAUUGGAAGAAAACUCUAAAAAUAUUCAUUUUUUGUUACAAAUUUUUUUUUAAUGAAUUUAAUUUACUAUCCAAUCAAGUGAAAUAAAUAUGUCAAAUAUACAUUAAUCACAACUAAAUAAUUGACAAAAUAAUUCAUGAUGAUAUUAUUCAAAUGUUUAUUUAAAUAAAAUGCAUAUUGAAAAAUGAAAAAGUAACGAGUCUGUCAAAUAUGGUUAAAGAAUUAAAUACAUAUUAAAAAACGAAAGUAAUGUAAUGAAUAUGUCAAAUGUACAUUUAUUAUAACUAAAUAGUUGACAAAAUAAUUAAUGAUAAUAUUGUUCAAAUGGUUCAGAUGAUUAAUAUAUUAGAUACAUAUUGAAAAACGAAAAUUACGGUAUUAUUGAAAUAAUUAAAUGCCUCUUGAGCAGCGAAAAAUAAGAUAUUAAUGAAAUAAUUAAAUUAUAGUAAAGAUAGAAUCGUCCAAAAAAUAAGUAUCACUAGAUGUCAUAUUUAGUAUAUUAUAGAUUAAAGGUUUUACAUUGUCUCUACUACUAACUAUAAUUUUUGGGGAAAAAAAAAACAUUUUCCUGCAUUAAAUAUGCCCAUAAUUUGGGGGUUUUAUUAGAAAGAUUUGAGUUCUAUAAUACUGAAUGGAUUGCAGCCUGUAUCCUUGCAUUUAGUUUUAAAAAAUUUCUAAAAAAAUUGAAAAAAUAAAAAAGUAAGCUGGGUGGUGUUGGACUUCAAAGUGUUUGGAUAUUUUGAGCUUAGUACUGUUUGCACUUUGUCACACCAUUGCCCAUGGCAAGAAGUUCUAGUCAUAGAGGGAGUUCAUCUGAUGGAAUAAAGAUAGAUCAGAUUUAUUCUAAAAAUGUUUUUUAAGAUAUUCUUCAGUGUCGAGACUACUCAUAUAACAUGAAAAACAAAUAUCAUACCUGACGUUGUUGACAUACUAAAAGUGCAGCCUAAAUCAAAUAGCCCAAAGAGUGAAGUCCAAUUGGAGAAUCCAGGAUAAGUGUCCAAACAUGAUUAUUAAUGAAUGCGGUGGAAGCCCACGAACGCAGUAACAUCAUCGUCCAAUCUUGCAAGACGCACAGAAUCUGAGCGAAUGGAGUACCUUACGAUCGCCCAGAGCGAUGACCGCGUUCUCCCCCAAACCUUCGAAUCGCCCAGGAUUUUAGCAAGCACAAAACAUUAUGGUUAUCCAAAAUAGCAAUUAAUAAGAGAAGAAGAGCAAAUGAAAAAUUCUAACAAGGGGACUUAUUAUAGAGACCCAAAUUUUGAUAUUCAUACCAUUAAUGACGAGUAUUACGAUAAACCAAAAUGUGUUUGGCCGAAUUAAUCAAAGGAGACGCAUAUACUUGUCCUAUAAUGGCUAAGCCUAGAUCGUCGGGCAAGAAUGAGCCUAUAAAAGAUGAAAACAAAAAGGUUAGAACGCUCUCGUUCGAUGCAACCAAAGCUGAUCUUAUAUCUGAUAAACUAUAUAAAGAUAAGCAGAUAAAGUUGAGCGAUAAAUAUAAGUUGCCAAACCCUGAACAAAUCAAGGGUAAAAAAUAUUGUAAGUGGCAAAUGCAUGGUCGCAUUUGACUAACAACUGUUUGGUUUUUCGCCAUGUGUUACAGGACGCCAUUGAAUCAGGACGAAUUCCGUUCGAGGAUAAGAAGAAGAUGGCAGUGGAUGAAAACCCUUUUCCACAGCCACUUGGAGUGAACAUGGUGACAACUGGUUUCAAAAAUAAGUUGUCAAAAUUCAAGUUGGUUAUAGAUAACGGAGAAGAGGACCCUGGGCCACACCCUAGUGUACGUGUCAAGGGGAAGGAGCCUAAAAAGGAUGAAGACAUCCUAUGUGCAAGAUGUAAAAGAGAAGUGAGUGCAUAUACAGAGAAACUAGGGAUAUGGCAGCAUCACUAUCGCCCUAAUUUUUUUUCAAACGCUCAGUCUGGUAGAGGGAGAGGUACAUCAUUCUAUAGGGGACCGCCUUUUGAGAGGCAGUUCAGGUCAAUAAAUAAUGGGAGAACAUUCAGGUUGCAACCUCGCCAACCAAAUGUAUGACAUUCGUUCCAAUAUAAUACAGGAAGGGUGAUACCCUUCAACGAGAUGACUAGAACCCAACAAAGGCGUUUUCAACGGAAUUAUGGACGAAUGAUGAGGCAACAACAUGGAGUGUCACGUCCUAAGGCGCUUAAACUACUCGAGGUGACCAAUCAAAAUGUUCUCGAAGACAGUGAGGAGACUGGUACAGGAGAAUCGAUGGAAGAAUUGUCAGAGAGUUCUUCUGGGAUAUCGAAGUUUGAGCGAGGCAGAAGGGAUGGAGAAGAUCCAGAUCAGCCCCUUACUAUUCAGUUUGGUACGUUACCUCAUGUCAUGGCUAAUAACUAUUUACUAGCCAAUGAGUUCAAGAACAAAGAGAAAGAAGAAGAAGAGAUGGAGGAUAACGAGGAAGAAGCAUGUGUGCUGGAAUGUGAAGAAUGUCAAACUUCUAGAGGGGCCUACAAUGGUGAAGAGGAUGAUGGUAUGACGGACGUCGAAGAGAAAAUUGAUCUGGAAGCAAAAAGAGAGGAGUAUUGCACAAUACUCUGUUGAAGCAACUACAUCGAGAGGGAGUUCCUGAAGUGGACUUGUUGAGGGAACUAUCUGGGCGUUCUUUCGAUUAUUACGUGCUGUACGGGAUGCCCAAGAGGAAAAAAAGAGUACCUCGUUCUAAAAAGUAUGGAUCACUUUCAAGAAUAAUGCCUCAUCCCACAGGUUGGGAAAUG